GGGAGCAAGCGUUGUUCGGAUUUACUGGGCGUAAAGCGCACGUAGGCGGAUCGUUAAGUCGGGGGUGAAAUCCUGGAGCUCAACUCCAGAACUGCCUUCGAUACUGGCGAUCUUGAGUCCGGAAGAGGUGAGUGGAACUCCUAGUGUAGAGGUGGAAUUCGUAGAUAUUAGGAAGAACACCAGUGGCGAAGGCGGCUCACUGGUCCGGUACUGACGCUGAGGUGCGAAAGCGUGGGGAGCAAACAGG
rnacentral:rRNA from 1 species